UACGUAGGGGGCAAGCGUUGUCCGGAAUCAUUGGGCGUAAAGAGCGCGUAGGCGGCCCGAUAAGUCCGCUGUGAAAGUCAAGGGCUCAACCCUUGAAUGCCGGUGGAUACUGUCGGGCUAGAGUCCGGAAGAGGCGAGUGGAAUUCCUGGUGUAGCGGUGAAAUGCGCAGAUAUCAGGAGGAACACCGGUGGCGAAGGCGGGUCUCUGGGCCGAAACUGACGCUGAGGAGCGAAAGCGUGGGGAGCAAACAGG
rnacentral:rRNA from 1 species